UAAUUGAAGAGUUUGAUCAUGGCUCAGAUUGAACGCUGGCGGCAGGCCUAACACAUGCAAGUCGAACGGUAACAGGAAGCAGCUUGCUGCUUC
rnacentral:rRNA from 2 species